UACAGAGGGGGCUAGCGUUGUUCGGAAUUACUGGGCGUAAAGGGCGCGUAGGCGGCCCGCUAAGUCGAACGUGAAAUCCCCGGGCUCAACCCGGGAACUGCGUCCGAUACUGGCAGGCUUGAAUCCGGGAGAGGGAUGUGGAAUUCCAGGUGUAGCGGUGAAAUGCGUAGAUAUCUGGAGGAACACCGGUGGCGAAGGCGGCAUCCUGGACCGGUAUUGACGCUGAGGCGUGAAAGCCAGGGGAGCAAACGGG
rnacentral:rRNA from 1 species